rnacentral:rRNA from 1 species
CGGGGUGCACCAGGCGCGAAAACUUUACAAUGCUGGCAACAGCGAUAAGGGGACCUCGAGUGCCGGGAUACAAUCUUGGCUGUCGUGAUGCCUAAAAAGCAUUACAUAGCAAGGGCCGGGCAAGACCGGUGCCAGCCGCCGCGGUAACACCGGCGGCUCGAGUGGUAACCGCUAUUAUUGGGUCUAAAGGGUCUGUAGCCGGCCGGAUAAGUCUCUUGGGAAAUCCAGCAGCUCAACUGUUGGGCUUCCAGGGGAUACUGUUCGGCUCGAGGCCGGGAGAGGUGAGAGGUACUUCAGGGGUAGGGGUGAAAUCUUGUAAUCCUUGAAGGACCACCAGUGGCGAAGGCGUCUCACCAGAACGGUCCUGACGGCAAGGGACGAAAGCUAGGGGCACGAACCGGAUUAGAUACCCGGGUAGUCCUAGCCGUAAACGAUACUCGCUAGGUGUCAGCCACGGUGCGACCGUGGUUGGUGCCGUAGGGAAGCCGUGAAGCGAGCCACCUGGGAAGUACGGCCGCAAGGCUGAAACUUAAAGGAAUCGGCGGGCGAGCACAAGGGNAAUUCGC